rnacentral:rRNA from 1 species
CACGUAGGGUGCAAGCGUUGUCCGGAAUCAUUGGGCGUAAAGAGCUCGUAGGCGGCUUAGUAAGUCGGGUGUGAAAACCCCAGGCUCAACCUGGGGACGCCACCCGAUACUGCUAUAGCUAGAGUCCAGUAGGGGAGUGUGGAAUUCCCAGUGUAGCGGUGAAAUGCGCAGAUAUUGGGAGGAACACCAGCGGCGAAGGCGGCACUCUGGGCUGGUACUGACGCUGAGGAGCGAAAGCCAGGGGAGCAAACGGG